UUCAGAUUAUCUUUAGCCUUGGGAGCAAUAAGGUCUCAUUCUUUGUGGGAAAAUAUGAAGCCUUUGAUCAGCAUUUUCUCCGCCAUCCUUUUAUUGUCCAUGCUAGGAUCUGCAAUGUGUUAUAAUCAUGCAUGGCCUGAAAAGUGCAUUUUUCCAUUCAAGUAUAAGGAAAGCUGGUUCAAGAGUUGUACGACAGCUGACUAUGAUACUCCAUGGUGUGCAACUACGUUACAUGAAAACGGUCACGUGAAUGAUUGGAAACAUUGUAGCUGUACCUGCUAUAAUUAAAUAAAAAACUGUAUUUUCUAUA